GGCGGCAGUAGCCGCCGCGACUCCAUCCGGGUCCCGCGCUGCUCCGGGUCACCCUGCGGCAGACUAACUUGAAGGCCCGGAAGUGCCGCCCCCGGGCGCUCCUGAGUGGCCGGUUGUCCUCGCCGCCCGCGGCGGAUAGGCCGCGGAUGCCGUCAGCGCCUCGCUCUGUUUUCAAGAUGUCUUUGCUAAGAAGGGGACUGUAAGUCACAUCUAUCUG